AUUGAACGCUGGCGGCAUGCCUUACACAUGCAAGUCGAACGGCAGCACGGACUUCGGUCUGGUGGCGAGUGGCGAACGGGUGAGUAAUAUAUCGGAACAUACCCUAGAGUGGGGGAUAACGUAGCGAAAGUUACGCUAAUACCGCAUACGAACUAAGGUUGAAAGUGGGGGAUCGCAAGACCUCAUGCUCAUGGAGUGGCCGAUAUCUGAUUAGCUAGUUGGUGAGGUAAAGGCUCACCAAGGCGACGAUCAGUAGCUGGUCUGAGAGGACGACCAGCCACACUGGAACUGAGACACGGUCCAGACUCCUACGGGAGGCAGCAGUGGGGAAUUUUGGACAAUGGGGGCAACCCUGAUCCAGCAAUGCCGCGUGAGUGAAGAAGGCCCUCGGGUUGUAAAGCUCUUUUGUCAGGGAAGAAAGGUUGUGGCUAAUAUCCAUGACUCA
rnacentral:rRNA from 1 species